rnacentral:tRNA from 1 species
UAGCGCAGCUUGGUAGCGCAUCUGGUUUGGGACCAGAGGGUCGGGGGUUCGAAUCCC